GACGAACGCUGGCGGCGUGCUUAACACAUGCAAGUCGAACGGAAAGGCCCAGCUUUGGUGGGGUGCUCGAGUGGCGAACGGGUGAGUAACACGUGAGUAACCUGCCCUGGACUUUGGGAUAACUUCAGGAAACUGGGGCUAAUACCGGAUAGGAGCUCCUGCUGCAUGGUGGGGGUUGGAAAGUUUCGGCGGUUGGGGAUGGACUCGCGGCUUAUCAGCUUGUUGGUGGGGUAGUGGCUUACCAAGGCGUUGACGGGUAGCCGGCCUGAGAGGGUGACCGGCCACAUUGGGACUGAGAUACGGCCCAGACUCCUACGGGAGGCAGCAGUGGGGAAUAUUGCACAAUGGGCGGAAGCCUGAUGCAGCGACGCCGCGUGCGGGAUGACGGCCUUCGGGUUGUAAACCGCUUUCGCCAGUGACGAAGCGUGAGUGACGGUAAUUGGUAAAGAAGCACCGGCUAACUACGUG
rnacentral:rRNA from 1 species